CGGCAGCAAACGGAGAAAGGAAGGAGAAGCAGGCAGAGGUCAGGGCUGCAAAAACCAGGUCUCCGAGCUACGAGUAAUCGGUUGUCUAAAUAGCAGAAUAGCAAUGUGUUUAAUGAAGAGGAUACAAUAUACACAUCCUUUGUGAAUCAGGACAGAUAACCACAGAACUUGCAUCAACCACACUGCUGAAAUUUCAGGAUUGCUUUGAGGUAAGACUGAGAAGCAGAUCAGGGAGAAGAAAAUCUGAAAGCUAUGUUGCUUUUUAAACCUGAUUAUUUAAAAAAAAAAAAAA